AUGUGGCAGGGCUAUUGCAGAACCUAUGAGCAGGAUAUGCAAGCACAAGUCAUGAAGUCACUAACAAAAGGUCCCAAACUAGAUUUUCCAAGGUUUUCAGGUGAAGAUCCAGUCGGUUGGCUGAGGCAAUGCAACAAAUAUUUCCAGAUGUCUGGAGCUCCAGAGGAGUACAAGAUAUCCCUAGCUCAGAUGUAUGUUAUAGGGGAUGCAGAUGUGUGGUUAAGGAGAUCUGGGUUACUAAAGAAGCAGUUGAGAUGGAAACAAUUUGGAGCUGAAGUGAUCGAACAAUUUUUUGAAAAAGGCUCCUAUGAUUUGACUGAAAAAUUCAAUUCAGUCAAGCAAUUGCAAAGUACAGUGUCUGAAUACACUAAAGUGUUUGAAGAUUUAAUGGCAGAUGUUCAGGAAGAAAAUCCUGAAUUGGGAGAACUCUAG
rnacentral:rRNA from 1 species